GACGAACGCUGGCGGCGUGCCUAACACAUGCAAGUCGAGCGGAGCCAACUAAACAAUCCCUUCGGGGUGCGUUUGGGGAAGCUUAGCGGCGGACGGGUGAGUGACGCGUGAAUAACCUGCCCAUUAGUGGGGAAUAACACAGAGAAAUUUGUGCUAAUACCGCAUACUGAAUAUUUACCGCAUGAUAGAUAUUUGAAAGAUUUAUCGCUAAUGGAUGGACUCGCGUCUGAUUAGCUAGUUGGUAAGGUAACGGCUUACCAAGGCAAUGAUACAUAGCCGAACUGAGAGGUUGAUCGGCCACAAUGGGACUGAGACACGGCCCAUACUCCUACGGGAGGCAGCAGUAGGGAAUCUUCCACAAUGGGCGCAAGCCUGAUGGAGCAACACCGCGUGAGUGAAGAAGGGUUUCGGCUCGUAAAACUCUGUUGUUAAAGAAGAACGUAUCUAAGAGUAACUGCUUAGGUAGUGACGGUAUUUAACCAGAAAGCCACGGCUAACUACGUGCCAGCAGCCGCCGUAAAAC
rnacentral:rRNA from 1 species